GGGGCUGCGUGCGGUGCGGCGGCGCUCAGAGCUGGAUCCAAAUGUGUCCUCCACCUGCUGUCUUAGAGCUACUUCUGCUUCAGGUCAAUUAGAAUGUCUGCUGCUCAUUCAUCAUGAUACAAUAUCUGGAUUCCUGCCCCAUCCUGCUGUGGAUAAGGUUGUUGCUCCCUCUUGGUCUGCACACAUGUGACUGUAGGUGUUCGCCGUCUGCCUAGUCUGGCACAGGCUUCCCUGGUGCUGUUGUUGGAAGGUAUCGGUCAUCUCCACG